ACUACUGAAAUGAUAUUAUUUCAGUGUAGAUAAGGGAAGGGCAGGUUCAAAUACAAACAUGACAGCCAGACGAACCAGUGUAUGAAUCAAAUGGAUUUGCAAAUGAAUGGAGUGGAAAUUAGCUGACUUCGUGAUCUGUAAGGUAGACCUUGCAUUGCCUCUGUGUGCGACUGCCUUGAGCAGCAGUCUGAGGGACUUUGCAGGGAAAAUGCCGUGCAGUGAGGCGUAGGGGAUUGUCUGCAGCAGGACGACCCUCAGUGGAUGGACGCCGAGGGGUGUGGUGCUCCUCCAGCAGCUUUCUCAUGUGAUUCUCUCUGUACUUUUGGUGGUCCACCUUCCCUGUGGCCGACCUGGUUACUCUAUGGACAGUGGACAGGACAUGGACGUCUCGUUUGUCAUGCCACUUUACUGCCAGCCGUUACCUGUUCUCCUGGAACUCCACCUCCCCUCUCUGCAUCUUCCUGCCUCCGAAUGCCGGCAUCCCCUUCCUCUUCGACCGAACCGUGCCACAGGUCCCAGUGCUGUUGGAGAGCAGAAGCUGGAAGAGUGUUGUACCAAUUCAAAUAAAUAUCAAAUGUUAUUGGUCGCGUACAGAUAAUUGGCAGAUGUUAUUGCAGGUGUAGCUAAAUGCUUAUGUUCCUAGUAGCAAUAGUGCAGUAAUACCUAACAAUACAAAACAAUACACACAAAGACCAAGAAAUGUAAAGAAAGAAAUGAAGAAAUAAUACAAAGUGUGGCCCUUCCCAAGAUGAGGGACCAGCAUGGUCCUCAUAAGCAUGGUCCUCAUAAGCCCCUCAUAACGUUGGAUGUCAGUGGUGGACCCUGUGUAGACUAUAAAGUCUUUGACAAAUCCUGCCUUCACUUCGCAUAUAACAAAGAACUUCACCCCAAACCUGUGCCUUUUAAAGGGAAUAUAUUAACGGAACACCAGCAUAUCCUUCCGUAACAUCAGGGACUAACUAACUAACUAACGUGCUUCUACAUCUGCAUUGCUUGCUGUUUGGGGUUUAAGGCUGGGUUUCUGUGUAGCACUUUGUGACAUCUGCUGAUGUAAAAAGGCCAUUAUAAAUACAUUUGAUUGAACUAAUGCAGCAGCAUAGGUGACUUCACGUAGGCGGUUAAGAGAACGAGGUUAAGAAAAGGGUUAGGCUUAGCAACAAUCCAAGGGGCCAGGGUUCCAGUCUUGAAGCACGAUUUUGACUGCUCCUACAGUUUUGCUUUGGUACUGCAAUUUUAACUGACUCCUGGCCCAGAAAGACCAUUUCCAUACACGGCCACAUAGAGAAGUCAGAUUUGAAAAUUCCUAAUAAGACAUUUAUAACAUCCAUUGAAUUAUUUAAAUUGAAUCACUCCCAGCCGAAGAUAUUAGCAUUUUAUAUUCAUUCAUUCAAUGCCUGCCAUGUUUUUGGAUGAUGUGAUGAUGACUUCGUUGCUGCUCCCUGUGCGCAGUGAGUGCUACAGUAGUGCACAUGUGAUGUUGGUCCUUAUUAACCGGAUGCAAAAGGGGAGGGUGGUGCAACUCAAUAUUAGGAAGGUGUUCCUAAUAUUUGGUAUACUCAGUGUAUAUACUGUAUUCUAGUCAAGGCUCAUCCUAUAUACUGUAACUACUGCUCUACAGACUUGUUCUAUUUAUAUACUGUCCAUAAUAUUCUAGUGUCAAAAUUGUGAAGUGUAAAUAGUAUAAUUUGGUCAUAAAGUCAGUCUCGUCCAAAAAGGAGAUGAUAGGAAAAUGUAUGUCACAGAAUGAAGGGUACAUAACAGUUUUCUGUGGGCUGGGUUUAUUUUAAUCAUCAAUUCGGAACGCAGCUGCACAGGACACGAUCGUAAUGCUCAUGGUCAAUUUGGUUUGACAUUCGAUAUCCCUAUGGGGCUAUUUGUACAUCCCACUGGGCACACACUGGUUGAAUCAAUGUUGUUUCCAUGUAAUUUAAAUUAAAUUACGUUGAACCAAUGUGGAAUUGAUGUUGAACUGAUGUCUGUGCCCAGUGGGAUGGGGCAAUAUUUUAAAAGGUUAACAGCUCCAACUUUCUAUGACUUAAAAACCUCAAACCAACUUUAAAUUCAAGGAAGUCAUAUACACAUAUUGAAAGCAUUUAAUGAGACAACUGAAAGAUGUGCAUUUACAUUGUGCAAUUUAUUGACAUUCCCUAACUAUCCCCAGAGAGAGGCUAUCCAAAGUCAAACCAAUUUUGCCACGGUUGCACACCAGCCCUUUGAAGAUAAUUGGCGAAAUAAUUUGGCUAACUCUUCCCACCUGGGGAACACACAGAAGAGACACCCAUAUCAAAACACACCCCAAAACGAACUCACGUUUGAAUUCAGUCAUGGUCGCCAGCUUUAAAAAAAAUCUAAGACGUGGCCAAAUGAGGAAUUGCAGUCGCCCUUUAACAAUUUACACAGACAUUUUUCAAAAACAUAUUUACUGGAAGAACUGUGCAGAUGCAAAAUUAGGUAAAAUAAUUUCUGUUAAAUAACCAUGUUUUUUAUGUGAUCACGUUAUCCAAAAAACUCAGUUAAAUAUCUGCUCUAAAGGACCUCCCGGGUGGCGCAGUGGUUAAGGGCGCUGUACUGCAGCGCCAGCUGUGCCACCAGAGACCCUGGGUUUGCCCCCAGGCUCUGUUGUAACGCGACGCACAAAUGGCCUAGUGUCGUCCGCUAACCAAGGUUGCCAGGUGCACGGUGCACUCCGAAACAUUGGUGUGGCUGGCUUCUGGGUUGGAUGUGUGCUGUGUUAAGAAGCACACAUCCAGAGGACGCAUGACUUUCAACCUUCAUCUCUCCCAAGGCCUUACAGGAGUUGUAGCAAUGAGACAAGAUAGUAGCUACUAACAAUUGGGGUAAAAAGAAAAUCUGCUCUGUACUAAGAUUCAAAGAUGUCUGCAGCAACAGCUUUAAAAAAAAUAAAACAUGUUUUUAUUGUCACAUACACCGGAUGUCGCUCGGGUAUUCGAAAAACAGCAGUACCCGCAAAACACCAGUCUCAAUGUCAACAGCAAAGAGGCGACUCCGGGAUGCUGGCCUUCUAGGCAGAGUUGCAAAAAAGCCAUUUCUCAGACUGGCCAAUAAAAAUAAAAUAUUAAGGGGGGCAAAAGAACACAGACACUGGACAGAGAAACUCUGCCUAGAAGGCCAGCAUCCCAGAGUCGGCUCUUCACUGUUGACGUUGAGACUGGUGUUUUGCGGGUACUAUUUUAUGAAGCUGCCAGUUGAGGACUUGUGAGGCAUCUGUUUCUCAAACUAGACACUCUGAUGUACUUGUCCUCUUGCUCAGUUGUGCACCGGGGCCUCCCACUCCUCUUUCUAUUCUGGUUAGAGACAGUUUGCGCUGUUCUGUGAAGGGAGUAGUACACAACGUUGUACGAGAUCUUCAGUUUCUUGGCAAUUUCUCACAUGGAAUAGUCUUCAUUUCUCAGAACAAGAAUAGACUGACGAGUUUCAGAAGACAGUUCUUUGUUUCUGGCCAUUUUGAGCCUGUAAUCAAACCCACAAAUGCUGAUGUUCCAGAUACUCAACUAGUCUAAAGAAGGCCAGUUUUAUUGCUUCUUUAAUCAGGACAACAGUUUUCAGCUGUGCUAACAUAAUUGCAAAAGGGUUUUCUAAUGAUCAAUUUGCCUUUUAAAAUGAAAAACUUGGAUUAGCUAACACAACAUGCCAUUGGAACACAGGAGUGAUGGUUGCUGAUAAUGGGUCUCUGUACGCCUAUAUAGAUAUUUCAUUAAAAAUCUGCCGUUUCCAGCUAAAAUAGUCAUUUACAAUAUUAAUGUCUAUGCUGUAUUUCUGAUAAAUUUGAUGUUAUUUUAAUGGACAAUUUUUGCUUUUAAUUAAAAAAUAAAGACAUUUCUAAGUGACGCCAAACUUUUGAACGAUAGUGUAUAUUACUGCUUUA